rnacentral:rRNA from 1 species
AAUGAACGUUGGCGGCGUGGAUUAGGCAUGCAAGUCGUGCGAGAACCGUAGCAAUACGGGGACAGCGGCGAAAGGGAGAGUAACGCGUGGAUACCUACCCCCAGGACCAGGAUAGCCGCGGGAAACUGCGGGUAAUACUGGAUAAUGUCUCCGGACCAAAGGUGUGAUUCCGCCCGGGGAUGGGUCCGCGUCCUAUUAGCUAGUUGGUAGGGUAAUGGCCUAACAAGGCAAAGAUGGGUAUGGGGUGUGAGAGCAUGCCCCCACUCACUGGGACUGGGACACUGCCCAGACGCCUACGGGUGGCUGCAGUCGAGGAUCUUCGGCAAUGGGCGCAAGCCUGACCGGGCGACGCCGCGUGCGGGAUGAAGGCCUUCGGGUUGUAAACCGCUGUCAGAGGGGAGGAAAUGCCGUGGGGUUCUCUCCACGGUUUGACCUAUCCUCAGAGGAAGGACGGGCUAAGUUCGUGCCAGCCGCCGCCGUAAAAC